CAGUAGCCGCGGUAAUACGAAGGGUGCAAGCGUUAAUCGGAAUUACUGGGCGUAAAGGGUGCGUAGGUGGUGGUUUAAGUCCGUUGUGAAAGCCCUGGGCUCAACCUGGGAAUUGCAGUGGAUACUGGGUCACUAGAGUGUGGUAGAGGAUAGUGGAAUUUCCGGUGUAGCAGUGAAAUGCGUAGAGAUCGGAAGGAACAUCUGUGGCGAAGGCGACUAUCUGGGCCAACACUGACACUGAGGCACGAAAGCGUGGGGAGCAAACAGGAUUAGAUACCCCCGUAGUCCCUGUCUCUUAUAC
rnacentral:rRNA from 1 species